rnacentral:rRNA from 1 species
CGUUUGACCUCGGAUCAGGUAGGGAUACCCGCUGAACUUAAGCAUAUCAAUAAGCGGAGGAAAAGAAACCAACAGGGAUUGCCCUAGUAACGGCGAGUGAAGCGGCAACAGCUCAAAUUUGAAAUCUGGCUCUUUCAGAGUCCGAGUUGUAAUUUGCAGAGGGCGCUUUGGCUUUGGCAGCGGUCCAAGUUCCUUGGAACAGGACGUCACAGAGGGUGAGAAUCCCGUACGUGGUCGCUAGCUAUUGCCGUGUAAAGCCCCUUCGACGAGUCGAGUUGUUUGGGAAUGCAGCUCUAAAUGGGAGGUAAAUUUCUUCUAAAGCUAAAUAUCGGCCAGAGACCGAUAGCGCACAAGUAGAGUGAUCGAAAGAUGAAAAGCACUUUGGAAAGAGAGUCAAACAGCACGUGAAAUUGUUGAAAGGGAAGCGCUUGCAGCCAGACUUGCUUGCAGUUGCUCAUCCGGGCUUUUGCCCGGUGCACUCUUCUGCAGGCAGGCCAGCAUCAGUUUGGGCGGUGGGAUAAAGGUCUCUGUCACGUACCUUCCUUCGGGUUGGCCUUAUAGGGGAGACGCCAUACCACCAGCCUGGACUGAGGUCCGCGCAUCUGCUAGGAUGCUGGCGUAAUGGCUGUAAGCGGCCCGUCUUGAAACACGGACCAAGGAGUCUAACAUCUAUGCGAGUGUUUGGGUGUCAAGCCCGAGCGCGUAAUGAAAGUGAACGGAGGUGGGAACCCGCAAGGGUGCACCAUCGACCGAUCCUGA